CCUGGUUGAUCCUGCCAGUAGUAUAUGCUUGUCUCAAAGAUUAAGCCAUGCAUGUCUCAGUGCAAGCCACAUUAAGGUGAAACCGCGAAUGGCUCAUUACAUCAGUUAUGGUUCCUUAGAUCGUACCCACAUUACUUGGAUAACUGUGGUAAUUCUAGAGCUAAUACAUGCAAAUAGAGUUCCGACCAGAGAUGAAAGGAAUGUUUUUAUUAGAUCAAAACCAAUCGGUGGCGGGCUUGUCUUGCUCACCGUUUGACUUGGUGACUCUGAAUAACGUUGUGCCGAUCGCACGGUCUAGUACCGGCGACGCAUCUUUCAAAUGUCUGCCUUAUCAACUGUCGAUGGUAGUUUCUGCGACUACCAUGGUUGUUACGGGUAACGGGGAAUCAGGGUUCGAUUCCGGAGAGGGAGCCUGAGAAACGGCUACCACAUCCAAGGAAGGCAGCAGGCGCGCAAAUUACCCACUCCCGGCACGGGGAGGUAGUGACGAAAAAUAACGAUACGGGACUCAUCCGAGGCCCCGUAAUCGGAAUGAGUACACUUUAAAUCCUUUAACGAGAAUUUAUUAGAGGGCCAGUCUGGUGCCAGCAGCCGCGGUAAUUCCAGCUCUAAUAGCGUAUAUUAAAGUUGUUGCGGUUAAAAAGCUCGUAGUUGAAUCUGUGUCCCACACUGUCGGUUCACCGAUCGCGGUGUUCAACAGGCAUGUCUGUGGGACGUCCUACCGGUGGGCUUAGCCCGUAAAAAGGCGGCCCAACUCAAAAUCCUACCAAGGUGCUCUUCACCGAGUGUCGAGGUGGGCCGGUACGUUUACUUUGAACAAAUUAGAGUGCUGAAAGCAGGCUCAUUCGCCUGAAUAUUGUGUGCAUGGAAUAAUGGAAUAGGACCUCGGUUCUAUUUUGUUGGUUUUUGGAAUUCCGAGGUAAUGAUUAAUAGGGACAACUGGGGGCAUUCGUAUUGCGACGUUAGAGGUGAAAUUCUUGGAUCGUCGCAAGACGGCCAGAAGCGAAAGCAUUUGCCAAAUGUGUUUUCAUCAAUCAAGAACGAAAGUUAGAGGUUCGAAGGCGAUCAGAUACCGCCCUAGUUCUAACCAUAAACAGCUUCCGGGAAACCAAAGCUUUUGGGUUCCGGGGGAAGUAUGGUUGCAAAGCUGAAACUUAAAGGAAUUGACGGAAGGGCACUACAAGGAGUGGAGCCUGCGGCUUAAUUUGACCCUACACGGGAAACCUCACCAGGUCCAAACACCGGAAGGAUUGACAGAUUGAGAGCUCUUUCUUGAUUCGGUGGGUUGUGGUGCAUGGCCAUUCUUAGUUGGUGGAGUGAUUUGUCUGGUUAAUUCUGAUAACGAACGAGACUCUAGCCUGCUAAAUAGACGUACUUUCUGGUAUUGCAAAGACCCUCCGCUUCGGCUUCGGUCGUUGUUGGUUGUGGUUCUCACUACCGGCGUACAAAUAUAUUUUCUUAGAGGGACAGGCGGCAUUUAGUCGCACGAAAUUGAGCAAUAACAGGUCUGUGAUGCCGUUAGAUGUUCUGGGCCGCACGCGCGCUACACUGAAGAGAUCAGCAGGUUUUCCUUGGCCGAAAGGUCCGGGUAAUCCGUUGAAGCCUCUUCGUGCUAGGGAUUGGGGCUUGCAAUUCUUCCCCAUGAACGAGGAAUUCCUAGUAAGCGCGAGUCAUAAGCUUGCGUUGAUUAUGUCCCUGCCCUUUGUACACACCGCCCGUCGCUACUACCGAUUGAAUUAUUUAGUGAGGUCUUCGGACCGGUGCGCGGCAGCGUUUCGACAUUGCCGAUGUUGCUGGGAAGAUAACCAAACUUGAUUAUUUAGAGGAAGUAAAAGUCGUAACAAGGUUUCCGUAGGUGAACCUGCGGAAG
rnacentral:rRNA from 1 species